rnacentral:snRNA from 1 species
GUGCUCGCUUCGGCAGCACCGAUACUAAAAUUGGAACGAUACAGAGAAGAUUGGCAUGGCGCCUGCACAAGGAUGACAUGCAAAUUUGUGAAGCAUUCCAUAUAUUU